rnacentral:rRNA from 1 species
CCCCUAGUAACGGCGAGUGAAGCGGGAAGAGCUCAAAUUUAAAAUCGGGCCGUCAACGCGGUACUCCGAAUUGUAGUUUGAUGAGAUGUACCCGGCUACCGCACAGGUCUAAGUCCUUUGGAAGAGGGCGCCACAGAGGGUGAUAGUCCCGUCCGUGGCCUGUGUUUGCAAUGGUAGCCUUACUGUGGGUCAUCCUCACAGAGUCGAGUUGUUUGGGAAUGCAGCUCAAAGUGGGUGGUAAACGCCAUCAAAGGCUAAAUACAGGCGAGAGACCGAUAGCGAACAAGUACCGUGAGGGAAAGUUGAAAAGCACUCUGAAGAGAGAGUCAAACAGCACGUGAAAUUGCCAACAGGGAAACGAUGGGCGCCAGUGAUGGUGAGGCAGUAGGUACAAGCAGCGGCUCGCGCAAGUGAGCCAACGCCUUACUCCUGCUGCCGCCGGUCAACAUUUGUGCGGCUGCGGUUAAAACGGUCUGGGGGAGGUAGGUCGCUUGCGACCACUUAUAAUCCCACGCGCAGUGACCGCGGCUGCACUGAGGGUAAGCAAUCUUAACCGCGGGGCCUGGUCCGGAGAAGUGAGCAGCCACUGGCUACGACAGUCUGACUGACCUGCCUAUGGUUUGCUCUGCUCCGCGGCCAACGCCACCCAUAAGAUGACUGAUGGUUGACGAAAUGGCGUCCAACGACCCGUCUUGAAACACGGACCAAGGAGUCUAACAUGUGUGCGAGUGUUUGGGUGUGUAAAACCCGGACGCGCAAUGAAAGUGAGCAAAGGCAAGACGCUGUCGAGUCACAUCGGCGGCCGCACUGUCAACCGACCAAUGUGCUCAUGUGGCACUUGGUUUGCGUUAGAGCAGACCUGUUAGGACCCGAAAGAUGGUGAACUAUGCCUGAGUAGGACGAAGCCAGAGGAAACUCUGGUGGAGGUCCGUAGCGGUUCUGACGUGCAAAUCGAUCGUCAAACUUGGGUAUAGGGGCGAAAGACUAAUCGAACCAUCUAGUAGCUGGUUCCCGCCGAAGUUUCCCUCAGGAUAGCAGAAACGUAAGACAGUAUUAUGGGGUAAAGCGAAUGAUUAGAGGCCUUGGGGAUGUAACAUCCUUAACCUAUUCUCAAACUUUAAAUAUGUAAGAAGUCCUUGCUGCUCAACUAUGAGCCUGGACGAGUAUGGUCGCGUUUCUAGUGGGCCAUUUUUGGUAAGCAGAACUGGCGAUGUGGGAUGAACCAGACGGGAGGUUAAGGUGCCGGAAUGCACGCUCAUCUAGACACCACAAAAGGUGUUGGUUCAUCCAGACAGCAGGACGGUGGCCAUGGAAGUCGGAAUCCGCUAAGAAGUGUGUAACAACUUACCUGCCGAAUGAACUAGCCCUGAAAAUGGAUGGCGCUGAAGCGUGCUACCCAAACCUCCCCGCCUCGGCACGUACAAGCCGAGGCGAGUAGGCGGGCGUGGAGGUGUGUGUAGAAGCGUGG